UGCUUCCUGCUUGGUCUCCAGAGGUCUUUUUUAAAAAAUAUUUAUUGUUUAGUUUUCGGUGGAUACAACAUCUUUAUUUUUAUGUGGUGCUGAGGAUCGAACCGCGCAUACCCCGCGCAUGCCAGGAGAGCACGCUACCGCUUAAGCCACAUCCCCAGCCCCUCCAGAGGUCUUGAUUAGCGACUCCGCAGCCACACUCUCCUCUACCCUGUUCCGUGGACCUCCUCGCUGGAUGAGAGAGAGCCCAUGUAAGAACUCAAAGAAAGUUGGAGAGGUUGAUUUCUGGAUGCGGCCUAAAAGCCAACAUAUUAUUAUUAUUAACAAUCGAAAACGUGACAGUUUGGAGGGGGAAAAAAGAACUAAAGGAGUCACAAAAUAGAUUGAUAACAAUGAAAAGAAUUAAAAAGUUGAGUUUUCCCACAUAAUUUCAGUUGGUAGAAAAUAUUUGUAUUUGGAAAUCAAUUUUUCAGAAAAUUCUUGUUGACUUUAGUGAUGACUCGGAUAGUACUGAAGUUAUAUCAACUAAGGUUUAGAAAGUAAAUAAAGAUAAAUUAUUACACAACUCCCAGUUAGAUGUUUUUCAGGGAAAUGCUAGCCAAUGCAAAAACUCACAUCUAACUCUCCCGCUGGUCUCUUUCAUCACUUUUUGAUAUCUUUAAAGCCAGAUGAGCAAGUGGCACCCUUCAGACAGAAGAUGAGAGGUGAAACCAUCUUCUAAUGAGCUGCAUGAUGUGUGUGCUGGGGCCUUGGACACAAAAAUUUUCAGAAAGUCUACAGCCUUACCCUCAAAGGCUUUCCGGAGGCCACAAGGGUCAAGUGACUCAGGACACCUCAAUAAGUUUGGGCACUUCCAUCUCCAUCAUGUGGCUUAUUGGGGUUGAAAUGGGCCCUAUGGACAUUUAAGAUUCUGAGGAUCCACUUGUUGACAUGCAGUGAGUAUUCUCUGGACAUACAGUCAUUAACUUCAAACCUGUCUCUUGGACCCUUACGCUACUCUAAGCGCUAAGAGAAAGAGAUGAAAGGAAUGAUUCUUGUCUUCCAGAUGCUCUGUUGGGUCUGACUCCAUAGCACUAUGAUAGUUAUCAUGAGCAAACAAGAGAAGUAUAGCCUGCAUCGUUUCCAGAGGAACACAACCUGGGAGUGGGAAGGAUUCCCAGAGGACAGCAGUGUUGAUGUCACAUUGAAUCUCAUAUCCCCUGUACCUACCUCUUGCCCAGUAAAGUCAGUCCCAUACAUGAUUGCCCACUGAGGGGCUCCACACCAGCCUCCUGCACAAAGCAGAGACUCCCUCGAUGUUUCCUGGCAGUUUGAGAACAUUCCGAUACAGAAACCUCUCUUCCCACUGUGGCAGCCCAUCCCAUUGCUUGAUCACUCUAGUGACAAGGCAGCUUUUCCUUCUACACCUACCUGCCUUGUAACCUAACCAACAGGCCCAGAUUUGGCCCUCAGAAAUGACACAGAUUAAAUCAACUCCACAGGACUGGGGUAUAGCUCAGAGGUACAACACUUUGCUAGCAUGCACAAUACUCUGGGAUCAAUGAACAGUGCUGCAAAAAUAAAUAAAUAAAUAAAUAAUGAAUAGAAGUCAGCUACACAGUCUAAAUCCUGAGUCUCUACAUUGGGAUCUAGGUCUAUAGAGACAUCCAUUUUAUAUAUUGCUCCCCUUCUCUGUUCCCCAUUGUCCCCAUUUCUUCAUUUACUGCUAAAGUUAAUUUGUUUCGAGAUGAUUCUAUCAUCCUAUUGAAUAGGCAAGACUGGCACCAAUGGUUAAACCAUAGGAUAAACAUUUGGUGAUUAGGAGUCAAAUUAGUUCUCCAGCUACCUGAGUGGGUGCAUGUGGAUUAUUGAACAAUUAUGGGAUGGAAGAGGAAUUUUCCUUGUUUCCAGAGGCUUCUCUGAAUCCUCAAAAGGAUUAACAAUGAGACCAACGCAAAGGCCACUUUUCUCCAUAGAGUCUCUUAAUCAGUCUUCUUGAAUGUGGAGACAGAAAAAUACUGUCACUAAUGGAAGACCUGUAAGAGAGGUCUUCCUGAACUCACCCUGAACCUGGGAAGGCUCUCAGCUGGUAGCAUUUCUUCACUAUUUAUUGCCUGAUAUCUUUUUGUCUGUUUGCUUGUUUUAGUAUUGGGGAUUGAACCCAGGGAUGCUUAACCACUGAGUCACAUCACCAGCCCUUUUUAUUUUGAGACAAGUUCUCACUAAGUUGCUUAGGGCUUCGCUGAGUAGCUGAGACUGGCCUCAAAUUUGCAAUCCUCUUGCCGCAGCCUCCCGAGUGAGCGUCUAAGGUUACAGGUGUGCACCACCACAGCCAGAGCCUGGUAUCUUGAAUACACUUAGGGAAGUCAUUGUGUCUGGCAUUCUUGUUAGGAUAUUGGAAGGCAACAGAACAUUAGAGAGCAACAAUUUGAAAUCCAGAGGGUGCAGAUCACAGGGCAGGCCAGGUAACAUGGGCAAUUUUCUCUGUCUGCUCUGGGAUUGUGCAACAGGCAGCCAAAUCAUUUGGUGGGUUAAGCAGUUAAGCAACACAUUGAGUCUCCAGACUCAGAUUCUGAUGGAGACUGAGGUGGUGGGAGGACAGAUAUGGGCAGGAAGGUAAGGGUGAGUAAGACAGAGGUGGGGGUGUGGCAACAGCUUAGUUCUCCUGAGAGCCCUCCACCCGGAGUCAAGACAGACUCAAGUCCAUACCCUGGUGAUGCUAUUUACCAAUUAAGUGACAUAGCUAGAGAUUGAACUCAGCAUUAAGUUUCUUUAUCUUUUAAAUAUGGGCAAUGAAAUCUGACUAAUAGAGAUAUGGUGAGUAUUCAAAGAGCUAACAUUUGCAAAAUGCUCAGGAUAGGGCCUGGCAUAGGGUAAUCCAUCAAUAAAUGGAAAUUGUUAAUAUCCCUAAUAAUACACUAGUACUCAGAGCACAAAGAGGUAGUGGGGGUAAUACUAAAGACUAAAACAUGGCCUUUUCUUUGAAGCCAUACACACACACACACACACACACAAACACACACGUGCAAUAUAGCCUAAUGGCCAAGGGUAAGGGCUCCUUGGCUUAUCCCUGCACAAGUUACUUAGUGUCUCUGAAUCUCAUUUUACUCAUCUAUAAAAGGAAUAAUCCUAGCAGUCCAUACUUCUAAGUAUUAUUAAGGGCAUAAAAUAAAAUAGUACACUUAACAUUGCUGGCAUCAGGCAAGCACCUAUAUUACCAGAAGGAAUACAACGGGUGAGAGAGUGCUAGGUACCACAUUUUUUUUUUUGCAUUAAUAUGCUGUCUAAGAGAGGGCCAUAUGUAUGCAACUUUUGGCAAAGGAACCAGAGAGAGAAAGUGGUAUUAUAAGGAAACAACUAAUAGAGCUUUCUCUCCUUGUGCUACAAGAAAGAGUGGGCAAUCCACAGGAGUCCACAAGGCAGGACUUAAGGAUGAGGGCAGUAGGCAUAGGUCAGAGUGACUGGUGGGGACUCAGGAUGCACAGCAUACAGCUAAGUUCCCAGUGAGGUGGAGAACCAGGCAUGUAGGUGAUGGAGCCCUGGAACAAGACUCAGGAAGGGGAGGAGAGCAGCUCAGGGAUUCCCCCAGAAGGGAUUCAAAUGGGCAUUUGAACAAUUGAGCUCACCUGAUGGGACUUACAGUUUUCCCUUAGAAGCCACAGAUGUAAUCAUCAGGGCUGCUUUACUAGCAGUGUGUCCUGCACAAGAAGCAUGGAGCCCUGUACUUAGUGGAAUGCUUGGAUGUGAUUGUUUUGAAAUUCCUAACAAUCCUUUUUAGCAAGGAACUCUGGGUUUUUAUUUUGCAUUGUGCCAUGAAAAUUGUAUAGCUGGUCCUAUUAAUCAUAAGUAGUAGCAAGUUUUGUGGGCAUUCACAAAAGUGUGAGAAUCAUUUCUAGCUGUGAGAAUCAUUUCUGAGCAGGAGGAAAGGAAAGAAAAAUGAAGGGACAUUUUGAGUUUGACCUUGUAGGACAGGCAGUAUUCAGGCAGGUGGAAAUGAGAGCAUGGCUAUCUGGUUGGAAGGACUAUGUUGGCAAAGUCAAGAGGUAGAGAAGUCUGGGCUGUGCUUAGAGAAUGGUAAGAGAUGAUGUGAACUUGGAGUUGCUGUUCUGAACUGCUCACAUCUGGCUCAUCCAGGGCAGCACCAUUCUCAGCUGGCCUUUCUAGGGGGAGACUUUUUCUCAAGAUCUUUCUUAGUCCUUUCCUCCAAGAGCCAUCUGCAAAGGUACCUGUCCAAAGAACAAGUUAAAUCUAGCCAUGGCAUCCAAAGACAUCUCAAAGCACAUGUUGGGGAUAGGGGCGAAUCUGAAAAACAAUCAUAUAGAAGUUUUUAGAAGAUGGUUAUUGAAAAUAAAAAUAUUUAAAUAUGUCAAAUACAGUUUAAGGGAAAAUGCAAAGAAUCCCUAUUGUUGAAUAAAAGGAAAGGAGGGGGGAUAGGUGUGGGAAAGACAGAAGAAUGAAUCAGACAUAACUCUCCUGUGUUCAUAUAUGAAUACAUGACCAGUGAAACUCCACAUCAUGUACAACCACAAGAAUGGGAAGUUAUAUUCUAUGUAUGUAUAAUAUGUCAAACUACACACUACUGUCAUAUAUAACAAAAAAGAACACUUUUUAAAAUAAGGCAAUGUGACUUAUUUUUUAUCAUUUUAUUUAUUUAUAUGUGGUGCUGAGAAUCAAACCUAGUGCUUCACACAUGCUAAGAAAGUGCUCUACCACUUAGUCACAAUCCUGGCCUCAAAAAAUAACAAAUUUUAAAAAUUAAACUUAAAAAAAAAAGAAUCCUGGAAUGGGAUUGUGGCUCAGUGGUCAAGCACUUGCCCAGCAUGUGUGAGGCGCUGGGUUCAAUUCUCAGCACUAUAUAUAAAUAAAUGAAUAAAAAUAAAGCCCAUCAACAACUAAAAAUACAUAUAAAAAUUUUUAAAGAGAGAGAAUCCCCAUCUUCCAACUUGCUAUCUCUGUGUCUUUUAUAUCAUGGCUUCUGUGUAGGGAUUUGCAUAGCAGGCAAGUGGUGAAAGUGGAAUUUUGACCAAGGUCCAAAUCCUCUACUCCUUUUUGCCAUGACCUCACUUCAUUCCAUAGUGAUGGAUUUCCUGAAAAAUGGCCCAGAAAAUAGUGCAAGUAUUAAGACUCAUAAAAGUAUCCAAAAGUCAUUCCAUGGUGACAAAGAUGAGAAAUAACAUAAAACGAAAAAGGUAGUUUUUCUUUUCAAAAUCUCACAAUUUCUAUCCUAAACUUUACUAUCCUGAAUUUUUCAUUUAGACUUUCAUUUCUAUUAACCUGAUAUGAAUGUCACUGUCUCUGGUAAUAUAG
rnacentral:lncRNA from 1 species